rnacentral:rRNA from 1 species
AACGAACGCUGGCGGCAUGCCUAACACAUGCAAGUCGAACGGGAACCCGCGGGGCCUAGUGGCGGACGGGUGCGUAAGGCGAGGGAAUGUGUCACAAGGGUCGGACUAGCAGUUAGAAACGGCAGCACAUCCCGGAUGAUUACGUAAAGUGGGAAGUUCUGUCGCCGGAGGAUGAGGCGGCGUGGGAUGAGCUUGUUGGGGUGGUAAAGGGGCACCAGGGCGAGGAGCUUGAGCUGGGCGGGGUGGAUGACCAGCCACGCCGGGACUGGGACGCGGCCGAGACUCCUACGGGAGGCAGCAGUGGGGAAUAUUGCAGCGUCGGCGCAAGCCUGAUGGAGCCCUGCCGGGUGAGUGAUGAUGGCCUUAGGGUUGUAGAGCUCUUUUAUCCGGGAGGAUAAUGACGGUACCGGGAGAAUAAGCCCCGGCUAACUCCGUG